AGAGUUUGAUCCUGGCUCAGGAUGAACGCUAGCGGCAGGCUUAACACAUGCAAGUCGAGGGGUAGAGGAAGCUUGCUUCCUUGAGACCGGCGCACGGGUGCGUAACGCGUAUGCAAUCUACCUUAUACAGGGGGAUAGCCCAGAGAAAUUUGGAUUAAUACCCCAUAGUAUAAUUGAAUGGCAUCAUUUAAUUAUUAAAGUUCCAACGGUAUAAGAUGAGCAUGCGUCCCAUUAGCUAGUUGGUGUGGUAACGGCACACCAAGGCGACGAUGGGUAGGGGUCCUGAGAGGGAGAUCCCCCACACUGGUACUGAGACACGGACCAGACUCCUACGGGAGGCAGCAGUGAGGAAUAUUGGUCAAUGGGCGCAAGCCUGAACCAGCCAUGCCGCGUGCAGGAUGACGGUCCUAUGGAUUGUAAACUGCUUUUGUACAGGAAGAAACACUCCCUCGUGAGGGAGCUUGACGGUACUGUAAGAAUAAGGAUCGGCUAACUCCGUG
rnacentral:rRNA from 1 species